UACGUAGGGUGCAGGCGUUAAUCGGAAUUACUGGGCGUAAAGCGUGCGCAGGCGGUGAUGUAAGACAGAUGUGAAAUCCCCGGGCUCAACCUGGGAACUGCAUUUGUGACUGCAUCGCUGGAGUGCGGCAGAGGGGGAUGGAAUUCCGCGCGUAGCAGUGAAAUGCGUAGAUAUGCGGAGGAACACCGAUGGCGAAGGCAAUCCCCUGGGCCUGCACUGACGCUCAUGCACGAAAGCGUGGGGAGCAAACAGG
rnacentral:rRNA from 1 species